rnacentral:rRNA from 1 species
UACGUAGGGGGCAAGCGUUGUCCGGAAUCAUUGGGCGUAAAGAGCGUGUAGGCGGCCCGGUCAGUCCGCUGUGAAAGUCCAGGGCUCAACCCUGGGAUGCCGGUGGAUACUGUCGGGCUCGAGUCCGGAAGAGGAGUGUGGAAUUCCUGGUGUAGCGGUGAAAUGCGCAGAUAUCAGGAAGAACACCGAUGGCGAAGGCAGCUCUCUGGGACGGUACUGACGCUGAGACGCGAAAGCGUGGGGAGCGAACAGG